rnacentral:rRNA from 1 species
AUUGAACGCUGGCGGCAGGCCUAACACAUGCAAGUCGAACGAGUGGCGGACGGGUGAGUAAUGUCUGGGAAACUGCCUGAUGGAGGGGGAUCACUACUGGAAACGGUAGCUAAUACCGCAUACCAUCAGAUGUGCCCAGAUGGGCUGGGCUUGUUGGUGGGGUAACGGCUCACCAAGGCUACGCUCCCUAGCUGGUCUGAGAGGAUGACCAGCCACAAUGGAACUGAUGCACGUAACAGACUCCUACGGGAGGCAGCAGUGGGGAAUAUGGCACAAUGGGCGCAAGCCUGAUGCAGCCAUGCCGCGUGUAUUAAGAAGGCCUUCGGGGUGUAAAGUACUUUCAGCGGGGAGGCGUUACCCGCAGAAGAAGCACCGGCUAACUCCGUGCCAGCAGCCGCGGUAAUUC